AGUGAACGCUGGCGGUAGGCCUAACACAUGCAAGUCGAACGGCAGCACAGUAAGAGCUUGCUCUUACGGGUGGCGAGUGGCGGACGGGUGAGGAAUACAUCGGAAUCUACUUUUUCGUGGGGGAUAACGUAGGGAAACUUACGCUAAUACCGCAUACGACCUACGGGUGAAAGCAGGGGAUCUUCGGACCUUGCGCGAUUGAAUGAGCCGAUGUCGGAUUAGCUAGUUGGCGGGGUAAAGGCCCACCAAGGCGACGAUCCGUAGCUGGUCUGAGAGGAUGACCCGCCACACUGGAACGGAGCCACGGUCCAGCCUCCUACGGGAGGCAGCGGGGGGGAAUAUUGGACAAUGGGCGCAAGCCUGAUCCAGCCAUCCCGCGUGGGUGAAGAAGGCCUUCGGGUUGUAAACCCCUUUUGUGGGGAAAGAAAAGCAGCAGUUUAAUCCCCCGCUGUUCUGACGGUACCAAAAGAAUAACCACCGGCUAACUUCGUG
rnacentral:rRNA from 1 species